rnacentral:rRNA from 1 species
CAGUAGCCGCGGGAACACGAAGGGUGCAAGCGUUACUCGGAAUUACUGGGCGUAAAGCGUGCGUAGGCGGUGGUUAAAGUCAGUUGUGAAAGCCCUGGGCUCAACCUGGGAAUUGCAGUGGAUACUGGGUCACUAGAGUGUGGUAGAGGAUAGUGGAAUUUCCGGUGUAGCAGUGAAAUGCGUAGAGAUCAGAAGGAACAUCUGUGGCGAAGGCGACUAUCUGGGCCAACACUGACACUGAGGCACGAAAGCGUGGGGAGCAAACAGGAUUAGAUACCCCCGUAGUCCCUGUCUCUUAUAA